UUCUUCCUGCUAAAAAGCUCCAAUGUUGUCCAAAAACUAUUAGAAGCACAUUAAUGAGCCACAGUGUUACACAAGGUGACAUGUUCUUUCAUUACCA